GACGAACGCUGGCGGCGUGCUUAACACAUGCAAGUCGAACGGAAAGGCCCUGCUUUUGUGGGGUGCUCGAGUGGCGAACGGGUGAGUAACACGUGAGUAACCUGCCCUUGACUUUGGGAUAACUUCAGGAAACUGGGGCUAAUACCGGAUAGGAGCUCCUGCGGCAUGGUGGGGGUUGGAAAUUUUCGGCGGUUGGGGAUGGACUCGCGGCUUAUCAGCUUGUUGGUGGGGUAGUGGCUUACCAAGGCUUUGACGGGUAGCCGGCCUGAGAGGGUGACCGGCCACAUUGGGACUGAGAUACGGCCCAGACUCCUACGGGAGGCAGCAGUGGGGAAUAUUGCACAAUGGGCGGAAGCCUGAUGCAGCAACGCCGCGUGCGGGAUGACGGCCUUCGGGUUGUAAACCGCUUUCGCCUGUGACGAAGCGUGAGUGACGGUAAUGGGUAAAGAAGCACCGGCUAACUACGUG
rnacentral:rRNA from 1 species